rnacentral:lncRNA from 1 species
UUCGGUUCCGGUAGCGGUUUUAAGCUUGAAACAACCGGUUUUAGCCUUUAAUUCGGUUAUAAAUCCCCGGUUCUGGUCCCGGUUCGGUUCCGGUUCUGAUCCCGGUUCUGAUCCCGGUUCGGAUGUGAAAUAAUCCGGUUCAACGAUGAAAAUCCCGGUUCUGAGCCCGGUUCGGCGGUGGAAAUCAACACUAAAAGUCUCCGGUUCCGGUUCUGGUUCUGAAUCCCGGUUCGGUAAUGGACAAACCCGGUUCCGGUUCGGUAAUAGAAAUACCCGGCUCCGGUUCCGAGCUCCGGUUCCAGUUUGGUAAUAGAAGUCCCGGUUCGCUGCUCUGGGGUCCCGGUUAAAGUCCCGGUUCCGGUUCGGUUGUGGAAGUCCCGGUUCUAAACCCGGUUCGGAGAUGGAAUGACCCGGUUCCGAGCUCCGGUUCGACUCUGUUAGAUCCCGGUUCGGGUCUCCGGUUCCGGGCUCCCGUUUAUCAAUGGAAGUCCCGGUUCCGGGUCCCGGUUCAAUAGAAACCCGGUUCGGAUCCCGGUUCCAGGUCCCGGUUCGGUCCCGGUUCGGUCCCGGUUCGGGUCCCGGUUCGUUAAUGGAAGUCCCGGUUCGGUCCCGGUUCGGGUCCUGGUUCGUUAAUGGAAGUCCCGGUUCGGUCCCGGUUCCGGGUCCCGGUUCGUCAAUGGAAGUCCCGGUUCGGUCCCGGUUCGGGUCCCGGUUCGUCAAUGGAAGUCCCGGUUCAGGGCUCUGGGUCCCGGUUCGGGGCUCCGGGUCCCGGUUUGUUAAUGGGAGUCCCUGGUUCAGGUCUCUGGGUCCCGGUUCGGUCCCGGUUCGGGUCCCGGUUCGUUAAUGGAAGUCCCGGUUCGUUAAUGGGAGUCCCCGGUUCGGGUCCCGGUUCCGGGUCCCGGUUCGUUAAUGGAAGUCCCGGUUCGGGGCUCCGGGUCCCGGUUCGGUCCCGGUUCGUUAAUGGAAGUCCCGGUUCGGGGCUCCGGGUCCCGGUUCGGUCCCGGUUCGGGUCCCGGUUUGUCAAUGGGAGUCCCCGGUUCGGGGCUCCGGGUCCCGGUUCGGGUCUUUAAGUCCCGGUUCCGAUUCCGGUUCGGGUCCGUUUCCAAGCUGUAAAUCCCCGGUUUGGGUCUGUAGGGUUCGGUAUGACCCGGUUCUAAUUGUAAAUCCCGGUUCCGAGUCCAAUUACCGGCUUAAAGGGACCCGGUACCGUGAAAUUAAAGCCCGGUUCUGUGUUAUAAAUCCCGGUACCGUGUUAUAAGUCCCGGUUCCGAAUCCCGGUACCGUGUUAUAAGUCCCGGUACCGUGUUAUUAAGUCCCGGUACCGAGUCCCGGUUCGAUCCAAUUCUCACCCACCCCCCUUUUAAAGCCGUUUCUCCUUUCGGUUCCGUUUGAAAUACCGGCAAAAUCCAACCGAUUUAACGAUCGUUCCGAACCGGUACCGAACCGGAUCCGAACCGGUACCGAACCAGAUCCGAACCGGUAUCGAACCGGUACCGAACCGGUACCGAACCCCCCCCCCCCUCGAGCUCAGUUUAAAGCCGUUCCAAGCUCCGGUUUAACCCCCCCCCUCCCCGGCUCCGGUUCGUCCUGAUCCGAACCGGUAUCGAACCGGAUCCGAACCGGAUCCGAACCGGUAUCGAACCGGUACCGAACCGGUACCGAACCCCGCCCCCCCCCGAGCUCCGUUUAAAGCCGUUCCAAGCUCCGGUUUAACCGCUCCCCCCCCCCCGGCUCCGGUUCGUCCUUUAUCAGCUCCGGUUGAUCCGGUUCGUUGUUCCAAUGUCCGGUUCGGUUCCGAACUCACCCGGUACCGGUAGAACCUCCAAAAAGAUCCAAUAGAAUCAAAUAAAACCCCGGUUCGAAUCGAUCCA